AUUGGACUGGAGGCUGACUUAAAGGAUGCGGAACCAGAAGCAAGUCUCAAUGAGCAGCAUGAGGCUGACCUUGAAAAUUCAACCAAAGAAGCUGAAAUAAAGCAGGAGGAAUUGAGAGACUUUGUUGAAAAUAUUCUGUGGUCAAAGCAUGGGAGAGGUGAACUCGAAACAGCAAACCUUGAAGCAGAAAAAACAAUUGACCAAGCGAACAAUGUUCCUGUGGCAAGUGCCAAUUUCGAGGGCUACGAAGUGCUCCUAACUCUAAUGGAAAAGAGGGUAAACAAAGCCAUCUCAGCUAUGUCCAUAUGGGAAAAAUGGACACCAGAGGACUUAAAGGAUCAAAUGAACGGGAGGAUCAAGGACAUCAACACAUCCCACUGUAGGCUGGAAAGCAGAAAGUUUGAUUUUGCAAAGGCACGGCAUGCUGAACAAGGCACAGGAGUGGCAUCUCCCCAACAACCUGUAACUCCACCAAUUAUUAGAAUAAAGCCAACCUCUCUACCCAUCUUCAACGGCAGCAAAAGAGACUACCAUAGAUGGAAGAAAGACUGGGAGAGCCUGCAAAGGCAAGGAGAGCCCUCUGGAUCGCCUGAAGUGAGGAAAAUCCAACUCCUGGAGAGUGUCUAUGACAAAAUCUCUAAAGAUCUGAGACUUUCAACCUAUACCUCAGCGAAUGAAAUGUUCAGAGUGUUGGAUAACAGGUUUGGCAACAACUCAACUAUCACACUUGAGAUCCUCGAGGAGCUGGAAAAGAUGCCACCUGUGAAAGGGAACCAACCAAGAAAGGUCAUCGACCUCAUUCAGUCUGUGGAGAAGGCCCUGGCAGACCUGACCGAGUUGGGAAAUUCUGGAGCCAUAAAAAACCCACUAGUGAUCAAAUCAAUUGAGAGCAAGUUGCCGGAGUUCAUAAAAAGAGACUGGGUGAUGUUCAUGGUGGAGCCAAAGAACAAUGUCAAGUCAGAUAACCACUUUGACAUGCUCCUGACCUUUCUCAAGAACCAAGAAGACGUUCUUGAGAGACUUGAACAGCUCAGAGUUGUUGACAAGAUGGAGAAGCCUGACCGUUCUGACAAAUAUGGGAAAAAGAUUGGCUCAACAAGAACCACUGAACCACGACCUCUUAACCUCCCACAACGACCUGAACAGACUGGGCAAAAUCAUAACAAAAGUUGAAGAGAUCUUGAAAGCUGGCGGUUUCUUCCUCAAACCAUGGGUCCGAUCAGGUCAAAGUGGGAGGAAAGGGAUGGGAACAGAAGUCCUAAAGGAACAAGGGAAAACUUUCAUUCUUCCAAAUCAAAUGAGGGAAGAAGACAACAAAGCUCUGGGCAUCGGCUACCAAGUGGAUGAAGACAAGCUGUACAUGCUAACCUCUGUCAACUUCUCCAAAAGAAAGAAGAAGAUGAGAGUCGGCAAAGAUCUUCUCGAAGAGGAGGUGAGAACUGAAACACCCAACCCCCUGACAAGGAGGGCUCUCUUAAGCCAAGUAGCUGGACUGUACGACCCAAGCGGCCUAGCAACACCGGUCAAACAGAAGGGAGCAAUUCUUGUCCGGAAAGCAUUCCAAGAGGGAGGAGAUGGCAAGUUGACCCAAGAAACUUGGGACCAACCACUCUCAGAAAGCCUCAGAGAAGAAGCCAUACAGCUUUUCAAGGAGUAUGUGCAGCUUGGACAAGUGAAAUUCCACAGGAGCCUCACACCAGCUGACUGGAAGGGAAGCCCUUGGGGCAUCACAUUCUCUGAUGGAAGUGACAAAACCUAUGGAGCUGUAAUGUACUUGAGAUGGGAGACAAGUCAUGGCAUUGAAGUUCGAUUUGUGGAAUCAAAAGCCAAGCUGACACCUCUGCAUCAGAAAGGAGAUGCUGUAAAAGCUGAAAUGUGUGGCGCAAUCUUUGCAGCGAGGAUCAGGAAGUAUGUGGAAAAGCAUGCACGGAUUAAAAUCGAGAGAUGGUUCCACCUGCUUGACAGCCAAACAGUCCUGGGGGCCAUACAAAGAGACAGUUAUGGGUACCAAACCUUCUUUGCAAACAGAGUGGGUGAAAUCCAGAAGGCUGCCCCGGUGCAAGAAUGGUGGUGGAUCCAGGGAGAUCAGAACAUUGCUGACAUCAUAACAAGAGGGGGCAGACCUGAAGAUUUAAAGGAGAAUUCCACAUGGCAGGAUGGACCGGCAUUCCUAAAGUGGCCAGUGGAGGAAUGGCCUAUUAAAUCAGCUGGAGAGGUCGCAGAUCAUGCCAGGGAGAGCGUGAACAAGCUCCAAAGGAAGGCAUUCUCAGCUGCAGUAACAAGAGCCCAAGCAAAAAGGAGUCAGCAGAAAGACCACCAAAUGGCUACUCAGGAGACCAAAACGCCCUGUCAAGAUGCAAAACGAACUUCAAUUCUUCCAAGACGAAAGGGCUGGAUAAAAAAUCUUGUGGACAACAGAAGAUUCAGUUCCCUGUCCAAACUGGUGAGGGUUAUCGCCUGGGUCUGUCGGGCUGCCAAGCUGUGGCUCAGAAGAAAGUGCCAUGCCCCUGAACACCCAAAGUGGGAGGCAACCCAAGCAAGCUGGUCUGACUAGAAAAGAAUUGGAGGAUGGUUUUGAAGACCUCCUCCUUGCUGCUCAAGAAGGCAUAACUUUUCCAGAUACAACGCUCAGCAGAUUGGCAGUAUACAAGGAUGUGAACUCUGGACUCCUGGUUUGCGGUGGUAGAAUCCAAAUGUUCAACGAGGACAAAACUGCAGUGCCAAUUGUACCCUGUGAAGCUUGGGUCUCUACAUUGCUGGCACAAGAAUCCCACCAAGCAAAUCACGAGGGAGUAGCAGGAAUCCUUCUCCGGAUGAGGAAAAAGGCCUGGGUGGUAAAAGGAUGGAGACUUGCCAAGAAAGUAGUGGACUGCUGCGUGGUGUGCAGAAAGAACCGGGCAAAGCGGUGUCAACAAAUUAUGGCUGACCUACCUCCAGAGUGAACAUGCCCAGCUGCACCAUUUGAAUUUACCACCAUGGACCUGUUCGGACCCUAUGAAGUGAAAGAUGAGGUCAAGAAAAGGACCAAACUCAAAGUAUGGGGAGUCGUCUUCUGUUGUAUGGCGUCUCGAGCCAUACACACAGAUGUGGUGAGUGACCAGUCAUCUGAAGGUUUCCUGCUGGCCUAUCAAAGGUUCACUUCACUGAGAGGGCACCCCAGAAAACUUUGGUCAGACCCUGGCACUAACUUUGUAGGAGCAAAACCUGCCCUGGAAAAGCUCUACAAAUUCCUUGACCAGCUAAACAAGUCAAAGCUGGAAGACAAAGCUGCCAAACAUGGUACAGACUGGUCUUGGAAAAUCCACCCUGCAGACUUUCCCCAUAGGAACGGUGCAGCAGAGGCAGCUGUCAGAAUAGUGAAGCAGGCCUUGAGCAACCUUGGUGGAGAUGGCGUUUUCACAUGGGGAGAGUUCCAGACGUUUCUUUUCAUGGCAGCCAACCUUGCAAAUGAAAGGCCCAUUGACGCAAGAACUCAAAGCAGGGAAGACUGUGUAGAGUACAUCACUCCAAAUUAUCUGCUUUUAGGACGAGCCAAUCCAAAGGGAGACCCUGGAGACUUCCAGUUUGAUGGCUACCCUUAUAAAAGGCUCCAAAGUAUUCAAGCAGAGGUCGGCAAGUUCUGGAAGAGGUGGUGCCAAUUGGCUGGACCAAAUCUGUUCAUAAGGAGUAAAUGGCACACCAAAGAGCGAAAUGUUGCUGUUGGAGAUGUGGUCUGGUUGGCUGACCAAAAUGCCCUUCGAGGACAGUACAAGCUGGCAAGAGUUGUCGAUGUCAACACUGACAGCAAAGGCAUCGUGAGAGAUGUGCUUGUGAGAACAUUUCCCAGCUAUCCCGUGCCCAUCACAAAGGCAAAUGGCAAAGGAAUGCCCCAAACAGGGAAAAAGACUCAAGGCCUUAAAAACAAAAUCCCAGCCACAACUCUUCAUAGAGAUGUCAGACGGCUUGUCAUUCUACUCCCUAUUGAAGAACAAAUGACAGAAGUGUGAAGGACUUGUGUGACCUCUCUGAGUUGGAAACAGAGACGGUCAAGUGGGAGGUGUCGAGGUAAACCUCCAAAACUCAGAUUUGUACUCCCAAGAUGGCCACCCAUGGGACAUUCAAGAUGGCCGCCCCUUGGUACACCUAAAAUGGCCGCCCUGUACACCAAAGAUGGCCGACCUUUGGGUGUCGGCUGAUUAGGAACACCUGAAAAGCUGUGUGAGUUGUGGCAGAGAACAAAAGAGCAAACAACUUCAAGCAGAAGCAGCUCCAAUUGUGGAAUAUGGGCUUGUGCUAAUCAUUAUUCUCCUUAAUGGUUCUGGGGGCAGGAUAUCCUGGACAGGGCAGAUUCGCAGUUCACAGGUCACAGGCCACAAUAUUGGGUUACUAAAAUCCAGACGUUGAUUAAAAUUAGAUUAGAGAUGAAGAAUUUAGAUUAGAGAUGAAGAAUGGAUGUAGGGGGACCUACAUCCCUAACCAUAUAUAACAGGGUCACAAACUCUGGUUGGGAGAGCUGGACACCAUUGGCAGUCCUCUCCCAGCAUCCGCGGUGCUGUUGUGAUACUGGUGUUGUCUUUAUAAUAAACUCCUCUUAUACAAGCAAGCCAGUGUCACGAAGCCUCCUUCUGCAUCUACACAUCCAGGACAGCCCAGACACAACAUUAUUGCUUAGAGUAAAGGUCAUUUUAAAAGAAGUUGGCAGAUGAUUCAAGAGUCAUAUAAUUAAAAAACAGUUUUAAUUACAUUUGAUUUAUAAAAAAUCAAACAUAUCCACAGUAUUGAGAAAGGACAAGAAUAAAAGUGAUCUGUGUGCAUGCUUGGAGAGGGCUUUCGUCUGGUGCAUAUGUUUAUGUUAGAACUGCUUCUCUACAGUUUAUCCACAUCAUGAAAUUAAAUUUAUAUAAAAAGUAAAAAAAAGACAGCUUGCAAUCAUAUGCAUGGAAGCUGUGGGGUAACAACAUGAUAAUGUCAGCUGUUUAAAGGGAUAUUCCAAUGUAAAAUUAAGUUAGGGUCAAACCAUAGACCACAUAUGUCAGAGUCAAGGCCCGCGGGCCACAUCCGGCCCGCGAGAAGGUUUUUUACGGCCCCUGGGAUGAUCUUGAUUUAUUAUUAGAACCGGCCCGCAGACCGCAGCAAGCCGGCAGCCCGCAGAUCUUUUACACGCACCAAUACUACAUUUCCCACAAUGCAACGGUGACGCACCGAGCAGUAGGCUUAUUAGCACAGCAGUCGUCAGCAUAACAGUAAAAUUAACUUUCAGAUACCCAUCAAAAAUGCAUGUUACUUCUCCUUGAAGAAAGUGUUGUUUUUGAUUAAUAGAUUUUUGCACUUUAUUUUAUUGUAUUUCAAUCCAAUUAUAUUUUAAAAAUAUUUCAGUUGAGUGGAUGAUAGAAAAUUGCUAUUAUUUUUUUUUUCUUUGAAGUAAAUUUAGCCCACUUUUGCUAAAAUAGAAAAUAUAGGCUACUGAUGGUGCCUUGAAUAAUACCGGUUUCUUUCAUUUAAUGUUCAUGUUAUGGGGAUUUUUAUAUAAAGGAAAUUUGUCUUUUGUGUCUGUUGAAAAUUAAAGAUUACUGACAGAGCCAUAAGAAAAUAUUGCUUUAUUUAUCUGAUCAUAUUGGAAUAUAUUUGUUAGGUUUUCAGUAGGUUCAAUUAGGUUCACUAGACUAUAUGCGUCAUUUAAAAAUUUUUUAAUGAACAUUCGAUCAGUCCGGCCCUCGGCUUGUAGCAAAAUUUUUUAUUUGGCCCUCCGUCCAUUUGACUUUGACACCCCUG
rnacentral:lncRNA from 1 species